GACGAACGCUGGCGGCGUGCUUAACACAUGCAAGUCGAACGGAAAGGCCCUGCUUUUGUGGGGUGCUCGAGUGGCGAACGGGUGAGUAACACGUGAGUAACCUGCCCUUGACUUUGGGAUAACUUCAGGAAACUGGGGCUAAUACCGGAUAGGAGCCCCUGCUGCAUGGUGGGGGUUGGAAAGUUUCGGCGGUUGGGGAUGGACUCGCGGCUUAUCAGCUUGUUGGUGGGGUAGUGGCUUACCAAGGCUUUGACGGGUAGCCGGCCUGAGAGGGUGACCGGCCACAUUGGGACUGCGAUACGGCCCAGACUCCUACGGGAGGCAGCAGUGGGGAAUAUUGCACAAUGGGCGGAAGCCUGAUGCAGCAACGCCGCGUGCGGGAUGACGGCCUUCGGGUUGUAAACCGCUUUCGCCUGUGACGAAGCGUGAGUGACGGUAAUGGGUAAAGAAGCACCGGCUAACUACGUG
rnacentral:rRNA from 1 species